AGGGGCUCAAAUGAAUGACGGGGGCCGCACAAGCGGUGGAGCAUGUGGUUUAAUUCGAUGCAACGCGAAGAACCUUACCUACUCUUGACAUCCAGAGAACUUUCCAGAGAUGGAUUGGUGCCUUCGGGAACUCUGAGACAGGUGCUGCAUGGCUGUCGUCAGCUCGUGUUGUGAAAUGUUGGGUUAAGUCCCGCAACGAGCGCAACCCUUAUCCUUUGUUGCCAGCGGUCCGGCCGGGAACUCAAAGGAGACUGCCAGUGAUAAACUGGAGGAAGGUGGGGAUGACGUCAAGUCAUCAUGGCCCUUACGAGUAGGGCUACACACGUGCUACAAUGGCGCAUACAAAGAGAAGCGACCUCGCGAGAGCAAGCGGACCUCAUAAAGUGCGUCGUAGUCCGGAUUGGAGUCUGCAACUCGACUCCAUGAAGUCGGAAUCGCUAGUAAUCGUGGAUCAGAAUGCCACGGUGAAUACGUUCCCGGGCCUUGUACACCCCGCCCGUCAA
rnacentral:rRNA from 1 species